rnacentral:rRNA from 1 species
GAUAAACGCUGGCGGCGUGCUUUAUGCAUGCAAGUCGAACGGUUCCGAUUUAUCGGAACAGUGGCAGACGGGUGAGUAACACGUAAGUAACCUGCCCCCAAGUAGGGAAUAACUCUGAGAAAUUGGAGCUAAUACCUUAUGUGUUGGUGAGGGUAAGGCCACAUCAAUAAAGUCUUAGGACGCUUGGGGAGGGGCUUGCGGCCGAUUAGCUAGUUGGUAGGGUAAUGGUCUACCAAGGCGAUGAUCGGUAGCUGGUUUGAGAGGACGGUCAGCCACACUGGGACUGAGACACGGCCCAGACUCCUACGGGAGGCAGCAGCAAGGAAUAUUGUGCAAUGGGCGAAAGCCUGACACAGCGACGCCGCGUGAGGGAUGAAGGCCUUCGGGUUGUAAACCUCUUUUCUCAGGGAAGAAAAAUGACGGUACCUGAGGAAUAAGUCUUGGCUAACUACGUGCCAGCAGCCGCGGUAAUACGUAGAAGGCAAGCGUUAUUCGGAUUUAUUGGGCGUAAAGAGGGCGUAGGCGGCUUUUCAAGUCGGAUGUAAAAUCUCCCGGCUCAACUGGGAGGGACCAUGCGAUACUGUUAGGCUAGAGGGCAGCAGAGGGAGGUGGAAUUCCCGGUGUAGUGGUGAAAUGCGUAGAUAUCGGGAGGAACACCAGUGGCGAAGGCGGCCUCCUGGGCUGUUUCUGACGCUGAGGCCCGUAAGCGUGGGGAGCGAACAGGAUUAGAUACCCUGGUAGUCCACGCCGUAAACGUUGGGCGCUAGAUGUGGGGACCAUUCCACGGUUUCCGUGUCGCAGCUAACGCAUUAAGCGCCCCGCCUGGGGAGUACGGCCGCAAGGCUA